rnacentral:rRNA from 1 species
UAGGGAAUCUUCGGCAAUGGACGAAAGUCUGACCGAGCAACGCCGCGUGAGUGAAGAAGGUUUUCGGAUCGUAAAACUCUGUUGUUAGAGAAGAACAAGGACGUUAGUAACUGAACGUCCCCUGACGGUAUCUAACCAGAAAGCCACGGCUAACUACGUGCCAGCAGCCGCGGUAAUACGUAGGUGGCAAGCGUUGUCCGGAUUUAUUGGGCGUAAAGCGAGCGCAGGCGGUUUCUUAAGUCUGAUGUGAAAGCCCCCGGCUCAACCGGGGAGGGUCAUUGGAAGCUGGGAGACUUGAGUGCAGAAGAGGAGAUUGGAAUUCCAUGUGUAGCGGUGAAAUGCGUAGAUAUAUGGAGGAACACCAGUGGCGAAGGCGGCUCUCUGGUCUGUAACUGACGCUGAGGCUCGAAAGCGUGGGGAGCAAACAGG